rnacentral:rRNA from 1 species
CAGGCCUAACACAUGCAAGUCGAGCGGGCACCUUCGGGUGUCAGCGGCAGACGGGUGAGUAACACGUGGGAACGUACCCUCCGGUUCGGGAUAACCCAGGGAAACUUGGGCUAAUACCGGAUACGUGCUGAGGCAGAAAGGUUCAUCUGCCGGAGGAUCGGCCCGCGUCUGAUUAGCUAGUUGGCGGGGUAACGGCCCACCAAGGCGACGAUCAGUAGCUGGUCUGAGAGGAUGACCAGCCACACUGGAACUGAGACACGGUCCAGACUCCUACGGGAGGCAGCAGUGGGGAAUAUUGGACAAUGGGCGAAAGCCUGAUCCAGCAAUGCCGCGUGAGUGAUGAAGGCCUUAGGGUUGUAAAGCUCUUUUACCCGGGAUGAUAAUGACAGUACCGGGAGAAUAAGCCCCGGCUAACUCCGUGCCAGCAGCCGCGGUAAU